CCUUCCUACACGGAAGCAGAGUAGGCGCCUGCCGUUUUGGACAGGCAGGUGCCUACUCUGCAUUGAUGCUGACCGGCGACCUAUGGCCGUGUGCCAUAGGUUCGCUAUCACUGGCUUAGAGUCUCAGCAGACCAAUCACUGGCGACACUCUGCACUUCUUUAAAAUCUAUUUCAGAAGCCGAAUGCCACUAGGAGAAUUGGAGACCCAGUGCAACCUUUAGUGUUAAACCAUGGGAAG